CUGGUUGGUGAGAUGAACGGUCAGAUCGUCAGACAUGGCAUCGUAAUUGGUGCAGGAGCAGAGGCUGGUGGAUGUACCUGUGAGGGCAAUGCAAGAUAUGUCACCAACAGGCAGCCGUAAUGCAAGGUGAGUGGCAGCAGAGGGCGCUCAGAAGAGAGGCUGGAAGUGCUAGGAACGGAUUCCAGAGGAACAGAAGCUGUGCUGAGUCUCAGAAGUGUCUCUGCCACAAGAGGUUGUGACCUUUCCAGUAGGAGAAGGCACCCAAAAGAGGGGAAUUAUUGCGACCACUGUCUUUGGAGACCUGGCCUUUGUACAACUCCAGAUAUUUCAAUCUUUAAUCUCCGAUAUCCCCGCCGAGGUCUGCCAACGAGUUGAGGUUACCUGGUUCUCCUACCCCGCAGGUGACCUCCUCCGCCCCGGGAGCCACAAGCCCAGCGUUCUCAAGUUUUUUCCCACUGCCCUCUCCCACUCAAGACCCAGUGGCACCUCUACCUUCUUUGAAAUGCCAACAGGAAUUUUGACGAGCCCAGGAUGUGACAGCUCUGAGGUCCCCGACAGGCAGCCACGAAGUGGAAUGGCAUAUGGGAAUUGUGGUGACAGUGACUGAAGGGGUGGGAAUGAAAAACACCCUGCUUCAGAUUGGAAACUAAUCAUGUCAGAGCUUGCCAUGGUUCUGUUGCUUAUUCUCAGCUCCCAGGGCUCAGAAGCUGAUGAAUAUAUAGGACAUAAUCAUUUUUUUCGAUACAAAGUUAAUGGGAUCUGCCUAAUCUGUAAAGUGCUGCUGUGUCAUUUCUGGAGGAGAACGAGAGCGCUUGUAUCUGGCUCUAGCAGUGGCGAAGAACUUUGACUUGCUUGCCCUUCCAGGAAUGAUAAACCAGGCUGAAAACGUCAGUUGCAGACCUUCCUCUUUAUUUUUUUUUUCCUGUAUAAUGCAUGGCAAAUGAACGGCUCAUGACUACUUGUAUAGCUCACAUUUGGGUUAUUGAGAUGCAGAUCACUGGCCAGGCAUCUACGAAAAACAUUUGAAGGCCUAACAGUUCCAGGGGACUGAGAAGCUACGCCUCCGUUUUUUAUUGCACGUGCACAAGACCUUUGGGAACAGUAGAGCCUGGGAAUAGACAAAAAAUCUUCUCCACCCUAGUGCUGCUCCCCCUGGAACAGGGUGGUAGCAGGGAAGGAGGCAGCAGGAAGCCAGCAGAUGACAAGACUGGAGUUAUCUACCCUUUGGACUGCUCUUUUAUCAUUGUUUUCUGUAUUACAUCCCGUGAUCGCUUGAGUAAAACCUACUAACCCAGUGACAAAUCUCCUUCAAAUUGGAGCAAAGGUUUUGGGCGUUGGUAUCUCGUAUUUUACAAGCAUUUAUUUUAUGUCUUCGCUGCACUCCUCUGUGAAUGCAGUGCACCAGGUGCAGCCCAUGCGGUUUCCCACCAGGCUCACACACUUGGCUCAGUUUAUUUUGGAAUACACGAAGUUGAUUGCAAACUCUUCGAGGCGGGACCCACUUGAAAUUUCUGCUUCUACUGGCCACCACGGGGUUCUGACUGUAAAAGCCCUUAGUGUUGCACACUACAGCAAUAUCCAUGCUAUUAUAUUAUUAUUACGCUAAGUGUCAGGUCAAUUAAGUGGCAUGCAGGAGAGCAGCACAGCUCAGCUGUUUGCAGCACAUGGAAGGUUGUGCCUCCCUGCUAGUUGCUGGCAUCUUCCACCUGAAAUUGUUGCCCUCCUUAGCACCUGUGUGAUACCAUGCUGCUCUUGCUACUCUUUGAGAUGGGAAUGUGAAUAUUUAUUUAUCUAUUCUUAACCUUUAAUCGCUUGGUCAUACCUCCUGUAUGAGUUUAUGUCUCUUAGCAUCCCUCUCCUCGCCUGGAUUGCUAAGAGAUCACCUGGUUUUAAGCAGUCCCAUUUACCCUGGGACGUAGGCACACGAGCUAUCCUGCAGUGACUGCAGAGCUCCAGGCUGCUCCUCCAUCAGUCUGAACACGUUCGUGUCUCUCCCUCUCUAAUCUCUAUACAGAGACCCAGGGGAUGGGAGCCUCUUAUCUUAUUUUCUAAUUAUGGAACAUCCUGGUGUUAAAGAUGAAUUUUCAUUUCAUUGAGUCUGUUGAUAGUUAUUAUUUUAGCAUCCCAUUAGCCUUCAUCGGCAUGUUUUGCACCCUCAGACAGCUAAUUGCUAGCAAGGUAAGUGGAGCCAGGCACGCAGGGGGCAUUCCUAGUGCCUGGCCAUGCCCAUUUCACCUCGGGCUGCACACCUGACCAGCACAAUAAAGCUAAAUCUAAUCAUCUUCUAAUCAUCAUCAGACAACCACUACCCUAAAGCUUUCCUUUUUAUUAAAAAGGUGUUCAUUUGGAGAAAAAAAGUGUAUUUUUACUGCCAAUGCAUGGAAUUCAAUUCAACAACAAAUACAUCAGAAAAAUAUUAAUAUUGUUUUAGUCAUUGUAAAUUUAUGGCAUUAGAGACAAAUUAUCUCUUAAUAAAAUCUUUUUUUUUUUUUUUAGAUGAACUGCUUGCUACUGGAUAGGUUGUAGUUUUUUUUUUUUCCUUCACAUUUUCAACAAAGCACUUACAAGGUAAGCAUAAAAUAUUUUAAUUUCACUAAUGUUUGCCAGCCAAUAUUAAUUACUUCAGUCCUGAAUUAUUUUAGAAGCAAAGUGACUGAUUUAUAUUCACAGGGUUUAUCUGCAAAGGUAUAAAUUAUGUGCAGUAUGCCUGCAAUCAUGCUGGUUAAUGGCCAGCACAUUAGUCGGUGUAGAUCUCUUCAUACUGGUAUCAGCUCAGAUGCUGGGCAUAGGAUUUGGCACAAAUAAUUAAACCAAGG